UGCAGAAUCCCGCGAACCAUCAAUUCUUUGAACGCAAGUUGCGCCCGAAGCCAAUCGGCCGAGGGCACGCCUGCCUGGGUGUCGUGA
rnacentral:rRNA from 1 species